UACAGAGGUCUCAAGCGUUGUUCGGAUUCAUUGGGCGUAAAGGGUGCGUAGGCGGCGCGGUAAGUCGGGUGUGAAAUCUUGGAGCUUAACUCCGAAACUGCAUUCGAUACUGCCGUGCUUGAGGACUGGAGAGGAGACUGGAAUUUACGGUGUAGCGUGAAAUGCGUAGAUAUCGUAAGGAAGACCAGUGGCGAAAGGCGGGUCGUCUGGACAGUUCCUGACGCUGAGGCACGAAGGCCAGGGGAGCAAACGGG
rnacentral:rRNA from 1 species